GCCUUACGAAGACAUAAGGAAAAGCUGGAAGAAAAAAUCAUGGAUCAAUACAAGUUCUAUGAUCCUCCUCCAAAGAAGAAGAACCACUGGAUUGGAGCCAAAGCCUUAGUCAAACUCAUCAAACCAAAGAAAGAGGGUUCGAGGGAACGCUUAAAAUCCACCGUGGACAGCCCUCCCUGGCAGCUGGAGUCCUCAGACCCCGCCUCGCCGGCGGCCUCUCAGCUGCUCAGAUCACAGGCCGAGAACCCCGACACCCCCCCACUGGGCUCCAACUGUGCAGAAGAGCGCGACGCCCACAACGGGUCUGCGGGGAAAGGUAGGGGCGGCCGUCCUGGCCGUGGUCGGGUGAGGAAGGGGGUGUCCCGAAGGGUCCCGCACCGGUGGCUGUGCACACGUGUGCAGGAACGUGCCAGGGGUGGGUGACUGCAUGUGCGCCUUCUGCUUAGAUGUGUUACGAGCCAAGUAGAAAUUCAGCGUGGCAACCGUUUUGUCCCAUAAUGCUUUUGUUACUUUAUUUUAUAUUUUAUUUUAAUUUUUUUGAGAUGGAGUUUCACUCUUGUUGCCCAGGCUGGAGUGCAGUGAUCUCAGCUCACUGCAAUCUCUGCCUCCCGGGUUCAAGUGAUUCUCCUGCCUCAGCCUCCUACGUAGCUGGGAUUAUAGGCGCCCACCACCACGCCUGGCUAAUUUUUUGUAUUUUUAGUAGAGAC
rnacentral:sRNA from 1 species